GCGCCUGUAGCUCAACUGGAUAGAGCGAAUGCCUACGGAGCAUUAGGUUGGGGGUUCAAUUCCCUCCAGGCGCG
rnacentral:tRNA from 1 species